rnacentral:lncRNA from 1 species
AUAGACUUCAAAAGAGGUCAUUAGGAUGCUGACUGAAAAUGUGCCCCCCUGUCUCAAUAACAGCAUAAGCAGGGCAGCCACUCACUCAGCAACAUCCUGGGGCCAAUACCAAGGCCAGACCUAUUAGAAUGUUCAUGAUGAAGUAAGUGGUAAUUGAUUGUGACAUCAAUUACAAAUAAUCUCAUCAUUUUAUUGGAGUGGGCUUGUCAGAAUUCUAAUUAAGAUCCUUGUUCUGCCUUUGUACAGGCCAUAUCUUCAAUGUAUUAUAUACUUCAAUAAUGACCAUCAAGAACUAGAAGGACCUAUUAUAAAAUCAUCAGUUGUGAAAUUAAUGAUGGUGACCCUCUACUAAAUGAAAAGAUCUUAUAUAUGUCCUGUGUAUUAACUGGUAAAUAACAUAAAUUUAAAUUUUUACUCAAUGACAAUCAUAAGCAUAUUUAGAACAUGUUACUGUAAAAAGUGCUCUGUGAUAUGAGACAUUUGCCUAUUAAUGUCUGUUCAAUAUAAACUUUAAAAAUUACUCUCCACCAAUUGUUUUUAAAAUUGUAUUUUAAAGUUUCUUUUUU